CGCGCCGCGGUCCUAGCGCACGCCGGUUUCGCGCACUGCGCGGCUGGGGGAGCGCCCAGCCCCCGCCAGGAAACCUCCGGGAAGGGGACCCUGGAGCCCACCGUUCUGGGUUCCCAGUCCGCGCAGCAGCGACCACGUACCUCGCCCCUUCCGCACCCCUGCUGGAUCUGAAAGGAAACAGACCUCAGUGGAAACUCACAUCCUCAGGGAGGCCUUCUCAAAGUCCUCAUCCCCUCUCCUGGGUCCACAGCCAAACAAGCCACCAUCACCAGGCAGCAAGGAGCUGGGAAGGAGGAAGUCUUGCGAGGAUGACACAGGAGGAUUUAUUCCUAAUUGCAGGGCUCGGAGAAGUAAUCAGGAGAUCCUUGGAGCAGCACGAAGGCAGAAAAAACCAAGGCACAAUUUAUGCAUUCGUUCAAUCAUUUAUUCAUUGCACAUUUAUUGAGCACCUACUAUGUUCAGGGCUCUGGCUGGGUCCUGGAGCCACAGCCAGGAAUAAGAUGUCACCUUCACUCCUGAGGAACUCCUGGUGGGGUGAGGAGACAGACAUAGGGGCAGUAACAAAGCUGAUGGGUAAACAAGGGUUGAUGUGAUGGAGCCCACAGAGAUGGAAUGUUCAAACCAGAAUGGGCCCCUGGAGAGACUCUGUCAUCCCUAAAGCUGAGCUUCAGGAAGUCCAGGACUGUCCCCAACUGUGGUCCCGAAGGGAUACAGCAAAGCCAAAUUCUUGGUGGACAGAUGUCUCUGCGUGGGCCUCUGCAGUGGCACCCACCAUCUGCCCGGGCUCUGCCCUCCUCUGGCAAUGAUGCGCACAUCGCAGGGCGCCCUCCACACAAAGCCAGCUGCUGCCUGUUCCAGGAUGUCAUGGCUUUCAUUCAAAUCUACCAGUGGCUCUGCAGGCGUCAACAAAGCAAGAAGCAAGAAUGAGGUCUGCAGCUUUGCAUGGGGUCUGGCCAGGGCUCAAUGGAUUUUUUUGUCUAGAGCCCUGGAAGAGGGGCACCCCGUGGGGGGCAAGCUUUAUCCCCCACAAUAACACAGCAUGACUUUUGGAGCACUGGGAAACACUUUAGUCACCAGGCAACUGCAUCUUUUCUCCCAGAGGACCUCCUCCCGGAGGAGCUGAUUAAAAGUGGUGGCUGCAAUUCA